ensembl:lncRNA
GCAGCUUCCCAGAAGCACACGUGACAACAAAGUGUGUUCAGCAGCAGCUUCCCAUCAUGACCCCCUAUUUGCACACUGAGAACUUUCCAAAAUUGGGUUGCAAUUUCUCAGAUUUGGUCUCUGCCUGAAGGUAGAAGAGGAAGUUGAGUAAAAUCCCUUCAGACCUUCUGAAACAAGAACAGAAUGAAAAAUUGCAUUUUCCUAUUGUAAUAAAAAUUCUAACCAUUUUGUUCUUCGUAAAACUGCUUGAAAUUUGAAGAAUGGCAUAGCUAUAAUUCUCAUCACAGGCCAGACCCAAAGCAAGCUGAGGUCAACAAUUCAUGGCUGAUCUCCCUUGAUUUUGCCUGGCUCUGACAAACAUCCUACAGAUCCUUGCUCCAUGAAUAAUCUCCUCGAAGAAAAUAUCCACAAGCAGACGAACGGACAUCUUUAGGUUGAAACCAGCUGAGAAUUCUUGAGGAGGAAGAUGGAGGGACAGAUAUACAAGCAGGAAUACAAGUAUAUACAGAAUACAUCUACACAAAGCUCAUUUCCUUAGAAAACUGAGAUGGCAUCAGGACACAAAAAGCUGAUGAAGAUGUAAAAAAUAAAGAAUGGCCUUACCAAGGCAGGCUGAAAGUUCAUAAUUCAGUAUCUUGUCUCCAUCAGCAGCCAGAAUAGGUACUCAAGGAGGAAUAAAAUUCAGCAGAAGUAUGCGAUGCUUUCCACUUGUGUCCUCUUCCAACAAUUUUUGCUCAGCAACUUCUUGCAAAUACUGCAGUCACUAUGUUCUUAAUCUCUGUGGAUUUCUCUUUGAUGAACUUCUCCCCUUGAACUCAUGUAAACC